GGGGCUUUCGCGGGCGCGCAGGCGCACAGGCGUUGGCGCGGCCGGCGGCGGCCUCCGCGGGCGUAGCUGUGCGGGUCUCCAAAGGCGGCAGUAGGUGCGGGGGCUACUCGGCUACCGUUGCUGCGCCCGUGCACCGCGCAUUCAACGGAUCCUGGCACGUGGCGCUCUGGCCCGCGAGAAGCUAGCGCUUGCCCGUCGGCUCAGGGCAGCUCCUCCCGCGGCGCUUUGUUCCGGGGCCGCGUGACCCCCCCGGCUCCGGCCGGAGGGGUCGCCCAGCGGGAUGCGAGCCCCAGGCUGGCCGCCGCCGCGGCCUUGUGCCCUCCCCCUUGUUUUGUCUGCUGAUUUAGCCCAGCGCCUCCACGGAUCCUUCCCAACUCCACUCAGUCCCAAAGAAAAAGCGGCUGCCCUGCCCGCCGACCGGGACCCCACCCCUAAAGAGAGUCCCAGCCUCUCCCGAGGUUGAGCCGCUCCUCAGCAACAGCGGGACGAGCUUCAAAAGCUUGUUUCAGCUGAAAAGUGGGUAAUGGGGAAGCACGCGUUUUCCUGUGUCCAUGCUCAUCUGGAAAGUCCCUAAUUAGGGACUCUGCAUUCCACUUCUUGAAAUAAUAAAAGGAAAACAUCACUUGCAAUUCUUUGAUGGGUGCUAUGAGCAGAAGCAAGCAUCUGAGACAUUUACAAGCCCUAACUGGAAUUCCAUGUAAGAUCUAUUAAAAUGGUAUUCCGUCCGGACGCGGUGGCUCACGCCUGUAAUCCCAGCACUUAGGGAGGCCGAGGCCGAUGGAUUACCUGAGGUCAGGAGUUCGAGAGUAGCCUGGCCAACAUGGUGAAACCCUAUCUCUACUAAAAAUACAAAAAUUAGCCGGGCGUGGUGGUGCACGCCUGUAGUCCCAGCUACUCGGAGGCUGAGGCAGGAGAAUCGCUUGAACCCGGGAGGCAGAGGUUGCAGUGAGCCGAGAUGGCACCACUGCACUUCAGCCUGGGCAAUAGAGUGAGACUCCAUCUCAAAAAAAAAAAAAAAUUCAGAUCCUAAGCUGGGUGCAGUGGCUCAUGCCUGCAAUCCCAGCACUUUGGGAGGCUGAGGCAGGAGGAUCACUUGAG
rnacentral:lncRNA from 1 species